CUGAAAAUACUUUUUUUACCCUUGGCACUCAUAUCCUAACCCUUAAACUUAUGCUCCUCGCUCCUCCUUCACCCUCCCAGCCUCCCUCUGUCUCUCUCUCUCUCUUCCAGCACCACCAUCAUAUGUGUCGCCAUCAUCAACGUAACAACACCAUCCAUCCAUCACCCAAAUCAACAUAGCCGUGUUCAUUGGAUAAAAAUGGUUUUCAUUUGAACUCUAAUCGACACAACUUUUAAUAUCGAAACUGAUGCUAUUAAGUUAUUGGUUUUAGUUCGUUCAUCACAAUAUGGGUAAUGACUACCGUUCUCGAAUUGGACAUCCAGCAAGAGUUUGCUUUUGGGAUUCAGUUACUGUUAUCCGAUAUUCGAUUUCGGGGGUUUGAUGAUGCUUCACUCCUUAUCACUCUCAAACUCAUCAUCUAUAAUACUAAUACAAAAUAGCUAAGCUGCCAACGCAGCCACCACCCAGUUUUUUUGUGGAAGGGUUAAAGCUAUUCAUGUUGACCUCAUACCCUUUGCCACGGAUGGUGAUCCGAUCACUUCGAAUUCAAGAAGAGAGCCAUCUUUGAAAAUUUUACCAGAUAGUUAGCUUUUACUCGAUCUAUUAUUGAAAAUAAAAAUACAUAAUAUUGAAUUUUAGAGCAUCGUUGCUUAAAAAAGUAUUCAUUUUUAAAGUGCUCCAAUCGAUGCUAAGAGCUUGACAGGCUAUGCACGAGGUUAAAGAAAACCAUAUUCAUAAAUGAAGCAGCAAGCUGCAGAUCAUCGUUUGUAAAAGUAUCAAGUCAUUUGGGUCAUGUUGAAGACAAGUUAGUCAAUUGACCCGGAUGAAUAAUUUUUGCUAGAUCGUGAGCAAAAAAAAGGCAUUGCCCCAUUGAAGAAUUUUUUGCAUUUUGAUUUAUCACUUCAUUCAUGAACAAAAGUUUUUUCCAAAGUUAUUACCUGUUAAUUCAUUCAUUCUGGUGUCUACAUAGGAUCAUGUUCAUGUUUUGAGGUUAGACUUAACUGGCGAUUUAUAGGUGUUGCACAAAUGAGCUCAGAUUCAACCGUCGAUUCAUUUGUUCUACGAGGUUACCCCAAAAUUUUCCUUCUUCCCGAUUCACUCUUUCCUAUCGCAAAUAGGAAUUUUGUUUCUACAGUAAUAUUUAUCGAUUCCAAGUUCUAUGGCUUUGCUUGCAUUACCAGAAGAAUGGAUUUUGUGUGGAGGGCAGCGGCUAGAGUUUUAGGUGCAUGAUUGUGGGAAGACAUUUUCUUACUAUUGAAUUGGUUUUGAUUUGAAGGUGGAUGAUUGGGUGUACAUAAAGUCUAUUAUACGGAUGCUCGGGCUAUUGUUGUUUAGUGUCUAUACGUUGUUUGGAGUUUGUAAGAGAUGCAUUUGGUGUUUGAUUUUAGUCGUGUUAUUUGGUUAGAUGUACAUGAUGGGCAUAUCCAUUAUACAUACAAGAGAAGUGUAAUUAAUUGUUUUUUGUUCUAAUAAAA